UGGGAUAUCGCCAAGCGGUAAGGCAUCAGACUCUGACUCUGACAUUACAUAGGUUCGAAUCCUAUUAUCCCAGCCA
rnacentral:tRNA from 1 species